rnacentral:lncRNA from 1 species
CUCAAGUGUGGUGAGGCCAACACAUCAGAAGACAAUUGACAUUGAAAAGAUAGUUUGUUACGCACAGUUCCAGAGAGGGGGCAUAUGCUAUGUAGGACCAUGCAGGGAAGCACCAGGGUUGGUCAGGAGGCAGAGGGAAUGAGGGAAAAAUGAAAGCAAGAGCCAUUAUUGUAGUUUCUGUAGGAAGGAACAGGUAGGGCAGGGUAAGCAGGUUCAGGAUUGGCUAGUUUGAAUAACUUCAAUGGGCUCUGAAGUGCAGAGGCUGUCUCUAGUUGUCUAUUGCCUAGCCCUGGGAUGAUCAAGACAGGGGGUAGUGGCCCAGACAGUGAGAGACCAAUAAUGAGGUGGCUGGGGUGUGAACUCUGGAUUGGUUGCAUAUGAAAGGCAUGUCCCGGCUGGGCAUGGUGGCGCAUGCCUGUAAUCCCAGUCUACUCAGGAGGCUG